GUAGAAUUAUGGUUAUAGGUGAUUACAUAUUUUAUAAGUAUUUUUUGGUGAUUAACCGAGUCAAAUAUAUAUACUACAGGACAGCAAUUAUAUUUUGCACUUUUAACUUUCUGCAUUAACUAUAUUCAUUUAUUAUCAAUAAGCAAAUCAUGGCUGAUUUAGAGCUCUAUUAUGAGAUGCGAAAUAUAAUAAAGGCUGGAAAUCUUGAAAAAAUGAAACAAAUAAUAAACAAUUACGGGUUAUCAUAUUGUUCCGCUUGGGAUGAUGGUUAUAAACUACUCACAGAAGCUUGUGUACAAAAUCACAGUCAUUUAGCAGAGUAUCUGCUAUCGAAAAAUGCUAAAAUCAACUGUGACUAUGAUCUAAUGUCACCUCUUCAAGCAGCUGUUAUGAAUAACAAUAAAAAAUUAAUUAAAUUACUUUUGGAGCAUGGCGCUAAAGCUUAUACAAAUAGAAAUAAUGGACCGCUUCAAAUAGCUAUUAAAAAUAAAAGUUUUGAAAUUGCAAAACUUUUGAGCAUAAUGCUGUUAAUAAAAGCAUUCAUGAAUUAUCCGAUACCCCGGAAGAUCCAGCGCUACAUUUGGCUGUUCUUAGCGGUGAAUACUCAAUGGUUAGACUACUGUUAGAAAAUGGUUUUAACGUACAUGUCAGCGAUUCUAAAGGAUCAAAAUCAAUUCAUUUGGCUAUUAGAUUGAGACUUUUAAGCAUUGUACAAUUGUUGUUGGAGUUUGAUGCAGAUGUAAAUGCAAAAACUAAAGAAGGAUAUACUCCGCUUUUCCUGACUUUAUUUCUCUCGCAGAUUCGAUUUACGGACGACGAAAUUCCAGUAAGUUCU